UUUGGAUUAAUACCUCAUAGGAUAAUGACUCGGCAUCGAGAUAUUAUUAAAGUCACAACGGUAAAAGAUGAGCAUGCGUCCCAUUAGCUAGUUGGUAAGGUAACGGCUUACCAAGGCUACGAUGGGUAGGGGUCCUGAGAGGGAGAUCCCCCACACUGGUACUGAGACACGGACCAGACUCCUACGGGAGGCAGCAGUGAGGAAUAUUGGACAAUGGGCGCAAGCCUGAUCCAGCCAUGCCGCGUGCAGGAUGACGGUCCUAUGGAUUGUAAACUGCUUUUAUACGAGAAGAAACACUGCUUCGUGAAGCAGCUUGACGGUAUCGUAAGAAUAAGGAUCGGCUAACUCCGUGCCAGCAGCCGCGGUAAUACGGAGGAUCCAAGCGUUAUCCGGAAUCAUUGGGUUUAAAGGGUCCGUAGGCGGUUUAAUAAGUCAGUGGUGAAAGCCCAUCGCUCAACGGUGGAACGGCCAUUGAUACUGUUAAACUUGAAUUAUUAGGAAGUAACUAGAAUAUGUAGUGUAGCGGUGAAAUGCUUAGAGAUUACAUGGAAUACCAAUUGCGAAGGCAGGUUACUACUAAUGGAUUGACGCUGAUGGACGAAAGCGUGGGUAGCGAACAGGAUUAGAUACCCUGGUAGUCCACGCCGUAAACGAUGGAUACUAGCUGUUGGGUGCAAA
rnacentral:rRNA from 1 species